rnacentral:rRNA from 1 species
UACGUAGGGUGCAAGCGUUAAUCGGAAUUACUGGGCGUAAAGCGUGCGCAGGCGGUUGUGUAAGACAGAUGUGAAAUCCCCGGGCUCAACCUGGGAACUGCAUUUGUGACUGCACGGCUGGAGUGCGGCAGAGGGGGAUGGAAUUCCGUGUGUAGCAGUGAAAUGCGUAGAUAUGCGGAGGAACACCGAUGGCGAAGGCAAUCCCCUGGGCCUGCACUGACGCUCAUGCACGAAAGCGUGGGGAGCAAACAGG